UACGGGGGGGGCAAGCGUUGUUCGGAAUUACUGGGCGUAAAGGGUUCGUAGGUGGCCUGCUAAGUCGGACGUGAAAUCCCUCGGCUCAACCGGGGAACUGCGUCCGAUACUGGUGGGCUCGAGUGCAGGAGAGGAACGCGGAAUCCAGGUGUAGCGGUGAAAUGCGUAGAUAUCUGGAGGAACACCGGUGGCGAAGGCGGCGUUCUGGACUGCAACUGACACUGAGGAACGAAAGCCAGGGGAGCAAACGGG
rnacentral:rRNA from 1 species